rnacentral:rRNA from 1 species
UACGUAGGUGGCAAGCGUUGUCCGGAAUUACUGGGCGUAAAGGGCGCGCAGGCUGUUAUGCGAGUCUGCUGUGAAAUGUACCGGCUCAACCGGUGCCUUGCGGCGGAUACUGCAUAGCUGGAGUACUGGAGAGGGAAGUGGAAUUCCCGGUGUAGCGGUGAAAUGCGUAGAUAUUAGGAGGAACACCAGUUGCGAAGGCGGCUCUCUGGACUGUAACUGACACUGAGGCACGAAAGCGUGGGGAGCAAACAGGAUUA